rnacentral:rRNA from 1 species
AACGAACGCUGGCGGCAUGCCUAACACAUGCAAGUCGAACGAGACCUUCGGGUCUAUUGGCUCACGGGUGCGUAACGCGUGGGAACCUGCCCUUAGGUUCGGAAUAACUCCCCUAAAGGGGUGCUUAUACCGGUUAAUGUCUUCGGACCAAAGAUUUAUCGCGUUUGUAUGGGCCCGCGUUGGAUUAGCUUUUUGUUAGGGUAAAAGCAUACCAAGGCGACGAUCCAUAGCUGGUCAGAGAGGAUGAUAAGCCACACUGGGACUGAGAAACGGCCCAGACUACUACGGGAGGCAGGAGUGGGGAAUAUUGGACAAUGGGCGAAAGCCUGAUCAAGCAAUGACGCGUGAGUGAUGAAGGCCUUAGGGUUGUAAAGCUCUUUUAAACGGGAUGAUAAUGACAGUACCGGGAGAAUAAGCACCGGCUAACUCCGUG